GCGCGAAAACUUUGCAAUGCGAGCAAUCGUGACAAGGGAACUCCGAGUGCCUGUAAAAUCAGGCUGUCCGCCAGUGUAAAUAACUGGCGAAGAAAGGGCCGGGCAAGACCGGUGCCAGCCGCCGCGGUAAUACCGGCGGCUCGAGUGGUGGCCACUAUUACUGGGCUUAAAGCGUUCGUAGCUGGCCUGUUAAGUCUCUGGGGAAAUCUUCCGGCUCAACCGGAAGGCGUCUCAGGGAUACUGGCAGGCUAGGGACCGGAAGAGGUGAGAGGUACUCCAGGGGUAGGAGUGAAAUCCUGUAAUCCUUGGGGGACCACCUGUGGCGAAGGCGUCUCACCAGGACGGCUCCGACAGUGAGGAACGAAAGCUGGGGGAGCAAACC
rnacentral:rRNA from 1 species